CAGAACUCUAAUUGAUAUAAAUAUUAUUUCUCAAAUCUGAACAUCUUAUUGCAUACCAUCCAAAUCUAUUAUAUGCCAUCAUAACCUAUUUAUCCAAUCCUAUUUGCUGCAUGAUGUCUUGUAUUAGCAUUUCCAUGUUAACAUAGGAAGAGCCUUCAGGUUCUAUUGCUCCCUUUGCCAUCCUGCUAAGCUCUUUGGCUCUUUUUCUUCUUUCUUCACUUUCCUCUCCUCCAUCCAUUAACCUUUCUAUAGCCCUAUUAACAUCUUUCUUUUUAACUAACACUCCAAUCUUCUCUUCUUCCCCCCAUGGCACAGUAACCUCUGUCCCAGCCUUUACACCAAUCUUUAACACAUCCACAACUAGCCUCUCAUUUAAGAACUGGUCUGCAAAUAAUGGCCAUGUAAUCAUUGGCUUGCCUGCACAUAUUCCUUCUAGAGUUGAAUUCCAUCCACAAUGUGUUAAGAAUCCUCCAACAGCUGCAUGCGACAAUAUAGCUACUUGGGGAGCCCAACCUCGAAUUAAGAGGCCUCUUCCGUUAAUCCUUUCUUCAAAACCAUCUUCUACAAUCCACUUUUCUAUUUGUGUUGAUUUCCCUCCUCCCCUUAACACCCAAAUGAAUGGUAUGUUUGAUGCUUCUAAUGCUAAGCCAAUCUCUAUCAACUGUGAGGUUAUUAGAUUACAAAGGCUACCAAAACAAACAUAUAAUACAGAUCCUGGCUUUUGUGAAUUAAGCCACUUCAAGCAUUCAUAUUCAUCAACUGAGGCCUUAUCGCCUCUUUGGAGCUUAUCCAAGUUGUCUUUGUUGCAUAGCGAAACUGGACCAACACACCAGACCUUAUCCCCUCUUGCCUUUUUGAAUUCUUGGACAUAAGCUGGCUCCAACUCUUCAAAAGAAUUAAAAAUAAUCCCGUAAGUCACGAUUUCAGCGGCUAUCACUUGCUUGUUGAAUAUUUGCACACUUUGAUGCAUGGCUUCUGGCAGCUGUUCUUUGGUUACUUGAAUAUGAUCAGGCAAACCAGGCACCUCGAAGUAUUCCGAUUUAGAGGUUAUGCUUUCGAGAAUCUGGGAAUUGUAUAAUCUGUGCAAGCACAUCAUACUAAAGCAACCAAAUCCAUUGAAAACAAUCCUUGGAAUCUGAAACUUGCUAGCAAUCCGACUCGUGUAUGGUAAGCACAUGUCAGAGAUUAUGCAAUUAGGCCUUGGUUUUAGAUCUUUAAGCAAUCGUUCUACCGUUUCUUGUAGCAAGUUGGUUGCAGAGGUGAACUCAAGGCCUAAGCCCAGUGAAGGAAGCAUAUCAAUAUUCUCACACUCUUUUGGCAAUCCUGCUUUUUCAGAUGGAAAUGGGACUUCAAGAAGGUGAAUUUCGAGCCCAGAUUCAACAGCACGAGCAAGAGUUGAUGCGAAACGCUUUGAAUUAAGUGGCGUGGUAACUAUAGUAAUAAUCAUGCCAUGCUGAGCUAACAAUCUGGCUAUGUCAACCAUAGGAAUCAUGUGGCCUUGAGCCAUAUAAGGAAACAGGAUAAAAUGGAGUUGGUGGGAUUUGGAAGCCAUGGAAAUCAAGCAAAUAUGAGUAUUGACUAACUAAGGACAUAUGGCUAAUGGCUUCUCCUUCUAUUGUUUUAUAGAGGAAGAAAUGCUUACCUGUGUUAAAAAGAUAUAAAUCCAAACAUUUGCAGAAAAUUAUAAUUUAAUUCAGUUGUUCUAAAUUUAGCAAUUCAAGCCAAAAUUAAAUAACAUAAUAGAAAUUGGACAUGCAUGGGUUGAGUGAAUUAUUGACAUACACAUUAUGUUAGCCAAAAGAAUGUGGCCAAUGCAUAUUGAUGCUAUCUGUUUGGGUUUGAUAAAUAAAGUUUUGUCUGUAGUGUUUCCUGUUCUGAUUCCAUACGCG
rnacentral:misc_RNA from 1 species